rnacentral:rRNA from 1 species
GAUCCUGGCUCAGAUUGAACGCUGGCGGAAUGCUUUACACAUGCAAGUCGAACGGUAGAGGGGGCAACCCUUGAGAGUGGCGAACGGGUGAGUAAUAUAUCGGAACGUGCCCAGUCGUGGGGGAUAACGUAGCGAAAGUUACGCUAAUACCGCAUACGAUCUAAGGGAUGAAAGCGGGGGACUCGCAAGAGCCUCGCGCGAUUGGAGCGGCCGAUAUCAGAUUAGGUAGUUGGUGGGGUAAAGGCUCACCAAGCCAACGAUCUGUAGCUGGUCUGAGAGGACGACCAGCCACACUGGAACUGAGACACGGUCCAGACUCCUACGGGAGGCAGCAGUGGGGAAUUUUGGACAAUGGACGCAAGUCUGAUCCAGCCAUUCCGCGUGCAGGAUGAAGGCCCUCGGGUUGUAAACUGCUUUUGUACGGAACGAAAAGGUUUCUAUUAAUACUAGGAGCUCAUGACGGUACCGUAAGAAUAAGCACCGGCUAACUACGUG